rnacentral:lncRNA from 1 species
UAUGCUUAAUGCUUCUUUAAAUUCAUAGUAAAUUUUUGUUGCUUAUUAAAGUAUUAUCUGACUCGAAAGAUUAAUACGUGAAAUUACACGCUUAAAAUAUUAGAUUCGUACUAAAAAAAUUAAUUACUUUUGCUUGAGAUACCGCAAUACCCCAUGCUGUAAAGAAUUUUUUUCAUCAAACUUUCUAAAAGUGAAAGUUGUAAUGUUGUCACCUGAUAUAGGAACUUUUUUUUUUUUAUUUGUUCAUUUUAGCUUUUUUUAGUACAUAAGAAAUUUUUUGAUUGGUGCAAGUGGCCUUGGGUACCCCACUGAUUAAAAUAUCAUUGGCCAAUCAACCAAUAAUGUCUAAAAUAAGAAGGAGGGAAAAUAAAAAAAUACUAUCAAAUGAUGUGAAAGGACAAAAAUGCUUUUAAAAAGACAAUGAAAGUUAUCCAAAGGACAAAGUUAGAAAGAUUUAAUUCUGGUAGGUAGCUGUACUAAGUUGUUAUUACUAAAAGGGAAAGGACAUUGGAAAAAUUUAACAAUUGAAUCAAGUUACUUGUACUUUUUUACCAUUCAUGCACCAAUUUAAGUUAGCAUUAAAUACCUAUACUAUAGCAUGUUAGCCAAAUUCACUUUUAUAGACAACAUCAUAACAUGUACAAUAUUCAUACAAUUAUGGAACCAUUUAUAUAAAUUCAGACAAUUAUGGAGCCAUUAGGUUAAAUUGUCAGAUUAAGAUUAAGACAAUUCACAUUUUGAGCUCAAUUUACUAACCUAAAGUCAAAAUGUAGGCCAUCUUAUCAUAAACAAGAUGAUGUGCCUGGUUUCCUCAAAAAAAGAAGUUGAUGUGCCUCAAUUAAAUUUGUGAUUCACUAAACAUAGAAACUUUAGAUUUCAAAUAGGGGAAAGAAAAAUACAAACAUUCAAAUAUAAAUAUUAUUACUAAUAUUUUAAUAUUCAUGUACUUUUCAUCCCUACUUGAUAUGUUCCAUAAUUAAAGAUGAUCCAUCUAGAUUUGUUUUUGGUCGAAUAAUUAGGCUAGACUCACACUAUAAAUGCAGAGAAGUGAGGAAUUUGGGGUUCGAACUCUGACCCGACCUCUACAUUUCAAUCUCCAUGAAAUUACCAACUAAAUUGUAUUUACAUGACUAUACAUCUGGGUUUAGAUACCCUUCUUUUAAUUCUUCAAUAAUUUUACACAUACGUUUUAAUAUAAACCUUUAACACUACUUUUUUUAAAACAAAAUUGGAAGUGCAGGGCCAUCAAUACCACAAAAAAAUUUAAUAUCAUUUUUUAUAUUUCCUACAUGAGCAUAGAAUCUAAGGACAUUUUGUUAUUCUUAGUUUUCUUCUAUUUUAUUAAUUUUUCCUAUUGAAGCAAAAUGUUUUUUAUAUUUAUCUAACAGAUAGUGAUUUUGCAAUGCAGAGGAUACUACAGAUGCACACAUAGACAUGCACAAGGUUGUCUAGCUACUAAGCAAGUGCAAAAAUCAGAUGAAGAUGAAAUGAUAUGUGAGAUAACCUACAAAGGAAGACACACAUGUACUCAAUCUAACAAGGCACUCCCAUCAAAAACAAAGUUGAAAUUUGGACAAAAUAAAUCACAACUCAAUCAAAAAAUUCAACCCCAAGAAGAGAAAAUACAAUCACCUCUAGAAAAUAAUUUCUCUAUUGACGACAAGGAGGAUAUAUUUCAAUCAUUCAAUUUUUCCUCUCCAUCAAUAGGAUCUGAAAAUGAAGAUAACAACAUAUUUUUAGAGACCAUGAUUGAAAACAAUUUCAUGGAAAAUGAGGAUAACAAUAUAUUCUCAGAUUCAAACAUUUUCUGCUUGUCAUCACUAUUGGAUUUGGACAGCACUGGACUAGGCCCAAGCGAGAGUAACAUCACUGAGAUAAUUUCAGGCCCAAAUUCUAUUGCCAAUUCCCCAAUGGAUUUUGAUCUCUAUAAUGACAUAAAUUUCGACAUGGAUGAUUUCUCUAUCAACACACAAGAACUUUGCUAUUGAUGAAUAAUAGCACUUAGAAAUUUUGUGCAUGGAUUAACUUGUGAGUUUUGUAGAUCAAGAUUAGUAAAAUGGCAAAGAGGAGGAUUACAAUAUGUAGUAAUCAUGUUUUGUGUGUCCAAAAAUAAGAACAAUGAAACUUCCUUUCUAAGUUAGUUAGGAGAGUUUUUCGGGUUAGUUAGGAUGUAAUGUGAAAAUAUUUUUUAUAUUGUAGUUGGCUAUUGUAUUUCACUAUUUUGAGGUUUCUUUGUUCUGUUGUAACUUAGUCAUCAUCCAUCUAUCAUAUGUCUUCUUUUGUUCAAGCCGAGGAAGAAAUUGCGAAAUAAAUAGUUUUUGGUUUACCCUAUAUUUGCUGUCUAAAGUUGUUAUUAUUAAUGCAUCAUUUCACAAAAAUUAUUAUCAAUGUCUUCCUUGAUUGUCGGUCCGUUGAGGAUUUUGGAAGUCUGGGUUGUUGUUGUUGCCUAAGGGGGUGUAUUGGAUUUAGAUUUCAAAUAAUUUUAAAAAAAAAACAUUUUGAUUAUAAAAUAAGUUUUGUUGUAUUCAAUCAAGAUUUUUAAUACCGUGUGUUUGGGUCAAUUUCCUUGCCUUUUAUUUACUCCAAACUUAUUUUAAUAUUGAUGGAUGGAUUUAGUGCCUUGUUGUUGUAUUCCCUUAAGGAAUUUAGCUUUAAACUUGAGUUUUGAAGUAUAUUUCGUGGUGUUACUUCAAUUGAGUUUAGCUUGAGUCUAUACUUUAAAGAAGAUUUGACCCGGUGUUGGGUCCAUGCACGAAAUUAGGAGCUUUCCUUUCGGGCGAUCUUCGUUGGGGACUUUGCGGUCCAGACAUGAGAGGAUCAUUAAUAACGAGCGCAAAUUUGUUUGUGGUUCGUCUAGGUCUGCUCGAGGAAGGUCUGCCCUUUGCCAAAGGGUGACUCCUCUCGACCCCUGGCAUGGGCUUUGCCUUUCUGUGAAGGUGUACUGUGUUCAAGGGGGGUCCUUUGUUGUACAAUGGCUAACUGUAGAGUGGGGUUAUCCGAAAAUCCACUUCUCUACCGAUGAUUAAUAUUCUUUUUUCAGAUGUGUGCAUUUGAAGGGAUGUUGGGGUUGCAGAAAGCUUCUCUCAUAUUGAAAAUUCUCCAUCCACUUGUGUUUCUUCUUCACACGAUGUGGUCUUUCGUUGCGUAAUUGCUUUAUAGGUGACUCAAAAUUAUCAAAUCAUACCUCCCAAUCUCACAAAACUUAUUGAGAGUCAUGAAUCCAUCAUUGUUUUUUGAACUGAAGUGUAACCCUCAAUCGACUAAUUUUCAAAGGUUGAGCAAUAUAAAGAGCAUAUAGGCAAUCAUCCUUUCAUUGAGUUGUUGAGGCUUAUAUGAGCCAACUAGAGAAAUGUUAGGAAAAUUAUUUUCAACAUUCUCUAACAUUCAUUUUUUUAUUGGGUGAAAUCAAUAUAGAUCUUACACUUUAGAAAUAGAUCCCACAUAAAGUGAUGAGACUUGUAUUGAUUUCACAUAAUAAAAGAGUGAGUGUAAAAUAGAGUCUUGAAAAAAGAGUAUUUCUAACACUCCUCGAAGCAGCUAUAUUAAGAGACAACUCCUCUGGUCCCAUAUUCUCAUCUUAGCCCACAAAUACAUGUCAAAUUAAAGACAAAGUUUUAUUCAUAUCUCUCUCUUCUUCUCUUUUCCCACCAUUUUGAACAUCAUUAUCCCUCUUAACUUCUCAAACUUUCGUCUAAAGUUAUUCAACCUUUCCAUCCCUAAAGGUAGAUGGUCCUUUUCUUGCUAAUUUACUUUUUAUUCAAUUUUUAUUGCUCAUCUUGAUAUUUAAAUAUGCUUGUUUGUUUUGAUCAGAAUUUUGAACUUGUUGGAACUUUUAUUUGCUUGUUUACUUAGUGGUGGAGUUUAACAUGGGAAAGGUCAAUCUUUUUCCACCAUGGGAAAGUUAACUUAAACCAUUAGAUUAAUUGAAGAACACAAUCUUAUCAUACACUGUCAGCACUAGAUUAUUUCUAUUACACUUUCCACCACCCUUUAUCUUCAACCUCUACAACUCACACCACCUUGCCCAAGUACGCUAUGUUCAUGUAUGUUUAAUUGUUUUGGGGCUGGAAAUUUCAUUUAGAAUUGGUAAAUAUAUAGAAAAUGAAGACGAAUCUGCAACUGGUUCGCCUAUCUCGUUGUUGUCUCCAUCCUCCUCUACAUUUCUCGCCGCCAACGUCCUCGUUAAACAUGGGAAAUUAAAACACUUAAUUAAUGAAUUGCAAAAUCCAAGCCUUCACUUGGAAAGAUUAAACAUGCACAACAAAAUUAUCUCCUAUUUUCGUAAAAUUUAAAAAGGGACACCGCGACUGUGAGACGGCAAGGAAGAAAGACGGCGAGUCAGCGACGGUGAGUCGGAGAGACAGCGACGGUGAGUCUGAUGCAUAUAUAACGAAUUCAUAGUAUUAAUAACACAGCUGUGAAUUUCAAUUGAUUGUGGAUUAACAACCAGAAUUUGGGAACAUGAGGAAAUCCAAUAGAUUAGCAACAGUGAAGAGAAAUUGGGCAUUGUUUCAUUGUUUUAUUAUUUCUAAAAUAAUUUUUCAUCUCGCUUUUCUUACUGCAUGUUGUGAAUCUGUAAAGGAACCGGGAACUGUACAAAUUUAAAACUGGAGCAGAUGUGAAAUGAGGGAGAUGAGUUGUAGAAGAUAGAUAGUUGGAUCUAGUGUGAGACACACAUGAUAAGAUAUAAUAUACUCCAAAAUCUGAUGGUUUAUUAGAAGUGGUCCAUGGUGGGAAAGGAUUCACCUUUCCCAUGUUAAACUCCACCUAUAUUGAACUCCUCUGAUGGUAGCAAGGUUUGACUCAUAAACGAUAGAACGAUAGAACAAAAUAAACAAAAGAGUCUAGCGUGAUCCUUAAGAUAUUGAAGCAAAUAUUUAAGUAAUGUAAUACAAGUUACUUCUAUGGCUAACUAAUAAGUUCGAAAAAAUGUAGCGUGUAAGAAGACCAACCUCGCAAAAAUUGACCAUGGUUGAACAUUGUUUUGAGUCGGCACAAAUGUAAGGUGAUCAAAGCUCUUGUUUUAGUUCUUGAGAAGUAAAACGCUAACUUCUAAAGAACUAAAGAGUUUUGGCCACCUUACCUUAAAGAAGUAAAAAUCUAAGGGCUUCAAAGAAACAAUAGAAAUACCCUUUACCUCAAACAAUCUUCAGGAUAAUUUUCGGUAUAAUUAAACAAUUUUCUGCCGUCAUCACUCAUGGGUCAUGUCCACGGUCCUAGGAUCAAAAUCUGCUUUGUAGCAUUUUAUAACCUUGAUGUUAUGUUAUAUACUUUUGAUAGAUAUAUUUUAUUUUUGGUUUUUUUAUAGUUUGAGAAUUUUAUUUAGGCUUUAAUGAUUUAUUUAUUUUUUUGGUAAUGUUAGUAGCUAGAAUUCACCUUAUAAGGUGAAUAAGUGGGGUGUUUGGGGUUCGAACCCCGGCCCCUGCAUAUAAUAAUGCAUUGUCCUACUAACUGAGUUAGACUCACGAGACCUUAAAUGAUUUAUUCUAACUUGAUAAAAAUUGUUACCAAUACUCAUAUUAGGAUAACUAAAACAAUAAUUGUUAACUUUAGUGAAUCGAUACAUUUUAAAUUUUACCACUAAUAAAAAUAAUUUUAAUUUAUUUUUUCUAAAAAUUUCUUUAUGUUAAUAUUUCUUACAUAUAUGAAAGUCUCAUUUUUAACGUAUAUUUUACGCCUCAUAAUAGGUUGAGCCGGCAUGACAUUAUUCAACGAGACUUUUUCUUUUGACUAAGAGCCCGUUUAAAUAAGGUUUAUUUUAAGCUUAUGCAAAACAAUUUAUACAAAUAAAUAAGUUGUUUUGUAUUAUUUGAGCUUAGGGCGCACCCAAAUAAUAAAACAACAAUAAAUAAAAAAUUUAAUAAAAUUAUUAAAGCAAUAAAAACAAAGUUAAGAGAAGAAGAUAAACACCAAAAAAUUAUGUGUGGUUCUGUAUUUGAGACCUAUUCCACGAGAGAGGGAGCAACAAUGAAUUAUCUAUCAGGACACAUAAGCUCAAUAUCAAUAAAAUUUAGUCUCAUUGGUGUUUGCUUCCUAUUAUAAAUCAAAAUCAUUACUAAAUUGAUUUGAUUAAAUAAAAAAAAUCAUUACUACUUUUUUUUUUCAUCACUUCCCAUUCAUCUCUCAAUCUCUUUAACUUUCUUUUCACAAAUCAUAAUGUAGAGAGUUUAAAUGAAUAUAUGUGGAUGUGUAUUAACGCUUUUCCCCAUUAGUUACAAACAGCUAAAAAAAACGGUAGUCUUCUUAAUUUUUUUUUGUCAAGUAGCCUAGUGGCUAUAGCUCACACAAUUUAAUUAUGGAGAAGUGGAGUGUCCGGGGUUCGAACCCCGGCUCCUGCAUAUAAUAUGCAAUAUCUCUACCAACUGAGCUAAGCUCACGAGGAUAGUCUUCUUAAUUUUCUACUCUUGUUUUUUUUAACAGACGAAAGGACAAAAUAAUUAUUGAAACUCAAACACAAGUUGAGGGAUCGGGGUAUUUUUACCAAUUGAGUUAGGAUUUGUGCAAACUUUGCUACAAUUGUUAUCUCUAAGCGUAUCAUGUUGUGUAUCAUAACGAAAUCACAAAAAAAAAAAAUGAAAGAAAGGAGAAAUAUUUAACCAUAAGAGAUUAAUUUAUAUGGAUUGUUAUUGUAAAACUCUUUCAGACAUUCAAUCAAACAACAUAAAGUAGAUAUUUGUAAAGAUAUUUUAGGAACAAAUCAAAAAAUGACAUUAUUCAAUAUGAUUUGAUUAAAUACAUAAAAAAAAAGUUUUAGUUGGUUUAAAUGCAUUAAAUCCUAACCAUAAACAAUGUUUUAUUUAAUUUCCAUUAUAUUAAUAAAUAAAUAAAUAUAAUCUCUAUUUAAACGUAGCUAAAUAGGUCACCGUGAGUAUCAUCUAAAUAGGUCACCAUGAGUUUAGUUUAGUUGGUAAGAGAUAAUGCAUAAUAUAUGUAGGGGUCGGGGUUCGAACCCCGGACACCUCAUUUAUUCACCUUUAAAGUGAAUUUCUCUAGCCGUUAAGCUACUUGAUAAAAAAAAACAUAUCUUUUUUUUUUUUAAGGAAAAAAAAAACAUAUCUAAAUGGUAAGCUAAGACUAAAAAUAUCUUCAUCUAGUAAUAAAAUUAUGAUUAACAAAUUAAAUGACAUAACCAAAUUAUAACUAACAAAAAUAAUGGCAAAGGGCAAGAGGACGAAAUUCAUUGAAAGAAGAAUAAAUGAAAUGCAACUUCAAUUUGGUAUUGUCACACCUUUCCAUUUGAGAGCUAAUUCACAUAUUUGCUUUGUUGAAGACCCAUUUUCCUUUAGAGCAUUAAUAGCUGCUUCUUUGAGAUCCUUCAUUCUAUAACGAAUCUUUUGCUCUUCCUCUCCUACCAUUAACCUCUUCACAACACUUGCAAUUUCUUCCCUUUGAACCAACCCAUUUUCACCAACUUUAGGUCUAAUAGCCACUUUAACAUUUUCACUCAAUAAAACAGCAUUCAUCUUUUGCUCAGCAUAGAGUGGCCAUGCAAUCAAAGGCACACCAUUCACCACACUCUCAAGAGUUGAAUUCCAACCACAAUGACUCACAAACCCUCCAAUUGAGAUAUGACUCAAAACUUGUGCUUGUGGGGCCCAAUAUGGGAGCACUAAACCCUUCCCUUUAGUCCUCUCUAUGUAACCAUUUGGUAAAAAUUCAAAAGGGUCAACAUUACUAUUAGCAAUAAAAUUAGAAUCAUUUUCAACUUUAUCCUUUGGACACCUUAAAACCCACAAGAACCUUUGUUCACUCAUUUCCAACCCAUAAGCAAUUUCAUCUGUUUGAGCACUAGUAAGGAUCCCCUCACUACCAAAAUUCACAAAUAUAACACUUCCACGUGGCUGCUCAUCCAACCAUUGAAAACACACAUCAAAUUCAGAUCCAUUAUUAAUAGAGUCUUCAUUCACCAACGGUCCAACCGGAUAAACUGGCGGUUCAUUCUUUUUCAAAAAAGUAAUAGCCUCCGGUUCAAGUUCAAGAAAACUAUUCUCUAUUAUUCCUUUAGCCAACUUGUAUCUUGUCACAUGGUGGAGAAAACACUUGUAAGCUUCGUCGUUUCGAUCCUGAACCGGGUCUGCUAAGUCUUUCCCGUGAAACGCGAAACAUCCAGGGAUGUUAAGCGGUUCAGGGAUAUCCCUAAACUCACCCUGAACUCUUUGGGCGAGUUGGGGAAAAUAAAAGGCAAAGGACAAGUUAUUGGCAUUUGUAGGGAAGUAGAGAUAUGAAGGGAUAUCUAGUUCAGCGGCCAUGUCAAAGACAUCAGUGCCGAAUAGGUCGACAAUGAGAGCAGAGAGACGGUGGGAAGUCAUGAGAGAGAGUAGGGUUUGAUGGAGAGAAGGGAGAGAGCGAACGGUGGUGGCUGUCAUGAGUGUUUCGGGUUUGGUGUUGGGUGGGAGGUCGGAGAGGGUGAUCGGAGGAAGGAAGACGUGGGAAAUGCCAUGAGGUAGGGAGGUGAGUACGGUGGUUUGAGCCUUUGAAGGUGGACCGUCGUUGGGGAUGAUGAAGGUGAUGGGAAGGUUAUGUUUGGAGAGUCUCUUGGCGAAUUCGACCAUUGGAAUGAGAUGUCCCAUUCCUGGAGUUGGAAACAUGGCUACUAGAGGUGGUAGUUCUUGUUUUGGUGUGGUCCUGGAUUGUUGUUGAUAUUCCAUAUUUGAAGAUUGAAGGUGAUAAUGAUUAUGAUAAAAAAAAAAAGUGAAAGGAUUUAUGCUUUUGUGCUUUUGGUUGGAGCAAAGGUCGUGUUGCUAUUUGAGUUUGGAAACAAGAGUGCUGUGGAACACUAUGCCUGUUGGUGAGAAUUGAUGGAAGGAGUAAACGAGUAAGUGUGAAGUCGUGGGUGAAUUCAGACAGAGAAUUCUUCCACUUGAAUAACCGAUGUAUUUGAUCUAUUAGAUUAAAUAUAUACAAUAAUUUAAAAAAAAAUUAUACUAGUUGUAUAUCAAAAUUAAACUCACAAAAUUGACUGUGAGUUCGUUAAUUAUGUAUAAUCGAUUCUAUAUAAAAGUGUAUAGAAAAUAAAGUGUGAGUUUAUGUUUUAUUAUAUUUUAGAAGUAAGUUGUUGAAUAAUAAAAUUGAUUGUUUUUUUUAAGGAAAAAUUGAAUGUUAAAACCAAUUUUAUAAUUUAAAGCUCUAAUUUUUAGCUUCAAGUAAAAUUUAUUUUGAAAGCAAAAUCAAUUUUAGCGAAAAUAAUUAAACAUAUUUAAAUCAACUCUACACUUUUAAAAUCAAUUUUAACCACUUUAAAAAUGAAAUGAAGAAUACACUCAGGUAAAUAUUGUUGAUUCAAAUAAAAAAAGAGUUCUUAUACAUGAACCACCUUAGGUGACAUACAUCCUUUUACAUCCACACACAUUUGUGACACGUGACAAAAAUAUUGAAAGAAGAGAUGAAAAAGGGUGGUGAUAUGAUAUAAAAUUACUAAAAUAUCCCUAAUACAUGAGGGUGUACAUAAGAGAUGUAUGAAAAAGGGUGUCUACCUAUCUUUUUCCAUAAAAAAAUUCAUAAAAGCGAUGAUGACCACGACGACUCAAACUGUAAUGGAGUUGUCCUAUUAUAUGAGUACAAUUUCAAGGAGCUGAAGCAAAUAAUUGACAGAGAAAGAAAACAAAAUACUAAUAUUUUGAAAUGAUAUGGUGUAAGUAUGUGGUGGAGAAUAAUCAUCUCAUGGAACACGAGAAAAGAAAUGCUGCUAAACGACGACUAUCAUGUUUUGUGUGGAGUCUGCUACACUUUUAGUAUAGUCUAUAUCAUGUUAGCCAAAUUCACUGAUUCACACAGCUAUGGAAGUGGAACCAUUAAUAUAAAUUCAGACAAUUAUGGAGUCAUUAGUUUAAGACAGUUUACUAACCUAAAGUCAAAAUGUAGGUCAUCUUAUCAUAACAAGAUGAUGUGCCUGAAUUAAAUUUGUGAUUCACUAAAUAUAGAAACUUUAAGAUUUCAAUGGAGAUUUCAAAUAGGGGAAAGA